rnacentral:rRNA from 1 species
GAUUAACGCUGGCGGCGUGCAUAACACAUGCAAGUCGAACGAUGAAACUUAAAUGAUUUCUUCGGAAUGAACUUAAGUGGAUUAGUGGCGGACGGGUGAGUAACGCGUGAGUAACCUGCCUUACACAAGGGGAUAGCCGUUGGAAACGACGAAUAAUACCCUAUGAAACUAUCACUUCGCAUGAAGCGAUAGUCAAAGUGUUAGCGGUGUAAGAUGGACUUGCGUCUGAUUAGCUAGUUGGUGAGAAAAAAGCCCACCAAGGUAACGAUCAGUAGCCGGCUUGAGAGAGUGUACGGCCACAUUGGGACUGAGACACGGCCCAGACUCCUACGGGAGGCAGCAGUGGGGAAUUUUGCACAAUGGGGGAAACCCUGAUGCAGCGACGCCGCGUGAUUUAGAAGGCCUUCGGGUUGUAAAAAUCUUUUGUAUAGGAAGAAAAUGACAGUACUAUACGAAUAAGGUCCGGCUAAUUACGUG